UGUUCGAAAUAUUCCAAGUCUGGCUUGAAGAGUUGUGUUGAGCUGUCUUUUGAGUUGGCGAUUCUCCUGAGUAGCUGAGCCUGGUUGGCUUUGGAAGCACUCCUAUCUGAAUAACACCGACGAGACUACACUAACGAAUAACUGUUCCACUCUGAUAUUUAAGGCCACUGCUGAAAACUGCUCAUAAAUGACAUUGAUAAUUUUGAUAAUUGAGAUAAUUUGGGUAUUAAUAAUAUUGUUUACAGGUUACAAGAGCGCAAUUAUUUGUUUACAUUUUACCGGCAAGUUUUUUUACCCGCAAGAUGGUAUCAGAAUAGAAUCCUAUACGGCUUCUGAUUGGUUGAUACAGGAUUGAAAUUACAUUUAAUCGAAAGCUUAUCCAAUUAGGUUUAAAAAUUGCCGAAAAUCAUAUUCACAUUUUACGAAGUGUAGAAAAUAUCUUCAAUUUCUGCACGUCGGAGCCAUUAAAAAUAUGCCUUUUUCAUUAAGAGAAAAAAGAGGACGAUCUUUUUCAACUGCAUUUUAAGUCAAUUUGUGCCGCAUGACCCUAUAUAUUUUUUUGGGUGUAAUGCAACACUGGCAAUUCUAGUAACAGGAACUGCUACCUGUUUUUCCCUAGUUUGUGAAGUCCUCGAGAAAAAAAAUACGGAACACUGAUGGUACCCUAUGGAAAAUGCAUCACGAAUUAUUGCGCUCUUGUAA
rnacentral:lncRNA from 1 species